rnacentral:lncRNA from 1 species
UGCCUGUACCAGAUUUUUAUUUGAUUAGGGUAUCAAUUAUACAGACACAAGAUUCUGUUAAAAUAUACCCAUAUUAUCAACAGCUUAAAGGAGUAGGUCCAGUAAGACCCUUUUUGGCCCAAAAUUAUAUCAGUUUUACAAAAUUGUUACAAGAGUGCACACGCUGAAAUGUCUCGCCUUCUAUACUAAUCAUUGAUAUUAUGUAGAUAGUCCUAAGUAUAAAGCUUUAUUACAACUGUCUCAUAAACUUAACAUUAACAAAGAUAACUAAACAAAGACCAAUGAACCAUGAAAAUGAGGUCAAGGUCAGAUGAACCAUGCCAGGCAGACAUGUACAGCUAACAAUGCUUCUAUACAACAUAUAUAGUUGACCUAUUACUUACAGUUUAAGAAAAAUAGACCAAAACACAAAAAAACUUAACACUGUGCAAUGAACCGUGAAAAUGAUGUCAGGGUCAAAAGAAACCUGCGCUACUGACAUAAAGAUCAUAAAAUAUUUCCAUACACCAAAUAUAGUUGACCUAUGGCAUAUAGUAUUAGAUAAAAAGACCAAAACUCAAAAACUUAACUUUGACCACUGAACCAUGAAAAUGAGGUCAAGGUCACAUGACAUCUGCCCGCUAGACUGUACACCUUACAAUCAUUCCAUACAACAAAUAUAGUAGACCUAUUGCAUAUAGUAUGAAAAAAAAACCAGACCAAAACACAAAAAUUUAACUAUAACCACUGUACCAUGAAAAUGAGGUCAAGGUCACAUGACAUCUGCCCGCUAGACAUGUACACCUUACAAUCAUUCCAUAUAACAAAUAUAGUAGACCUAUUGCAUAUAGUACGAAAAAAACAGACCAAAACACAAAAAUUUACCUAUAACCACUGAACCAUGAAAAUGAGGUCAAGGUCAGAUGACACCUGCCAGUUGGACAUGUACACCUUACAGUCCUUCCAUACACCGAAUAUACUAGCCCUAUUGCUUAUAGUAUCUGAGAUAUGGACUUGACCACCAAAACUUAACCUUGUUCACUGAUCCAUGAAAUGAGGUCAAGGUCAAGUGAAAACUGUCUGACAGACAUGAGGACCUUGCAAGGUACACACAUAUCAAAUAUAGUUAUCCUAUUACUUAUAAUAAGAGAGAAUUCAACAUUACAAAAAAUUUGAACUUUUUUUUCAAGUGGUCACUGAACCAUGAAAAUGAGGUCAAGGACAUUGGACAUGUGACUGACGGAAACUUCGUAACAUGAGGCAUCUAUAUACAAAGUAUGAAGCAUCCAGGUCUUCCACCUUCUAAAAUAAAAGGCUUUUAAGAAGUUAGCUAACACCGCCGCCGGAUCACUAUCCCUAUGUCGAGCUUUCUGCAACAAAAGUUGCAGGCUCGACAAAAAUGUAAACUUUUAUCUAUUUAUUGGAAAUUAGAAUGCUUCUGCUACAUAAAUAUGGGCUGUUUUUGACAAUACAAUGUACAUAUAUCAAGCUAAAUUACUGAAAUCUUCAAAAG